AAAAAUUUUAAUGUUUGUUUACUAUUGAGAGAGAGACAGUAUGAGCAGGGAGGGGCAGAAAGAGAGAGGGAGACACAGAAACCGAGGCAGGCUCCAGGCUAUGAGCUGUCAGCACAGAGCCGGAUGUGAGGCUCAAACUCACAGAUUGCGAGAUUAUGACCUGAACCGACGUUGGACACUUAACCGACUAAGCCACCCGGGUGCCCCUACAUCGCUUUUAUUAUUAGCAUUUUACUAUAAUGCUUUAUUUAUUUAUAAAAUAUCUAUAAAAUAUUUAUAAUAUUGUAAAUAUUUUAUCACACAGCUUUGUAUUUUUCUGUUAAUCCAUUACAUGUUUUUUAAAAUCUCCCACUUUUUUUUUAACCUGAAAUGUUUAAUUUAGCCAUAUCCUAAGCAGUUAUAUCUGUGAGCCACUGUCUUAAGGACCAGGUAUAUUUUUUCUAAAACAUAAAAGUGAAGUCAUAUGCACUGACAACCAGUAGUUUGUAUUUGACAUUUUUGGGAACUGUUACAGUUGGUGGUUAAUUCCUAAAUUAGGCCACAAGAGCCUCUUAAGCCUGAAUUGUAACAGGAAUGGAUUGAUGGGAUUUGGGUACCUUGGACAGGGCCUUGUGCUAUAAGAAGUAGGUAAAGAGGACUCUGGCUUCUUUCCUGGGUCCAGGGCUAGCGCACACCCUACCUAAAGAACAAUCAAUACCGGUUUUCAUCUUCCCAGUUCUCUUCCUGUAUUCUUCUUCCAUCUUUUGAUAUUUAAUUCAUAGUGCAUCCAUGCUAUCUUUUUUCUUCUAAGAUGUUUUAUAAUUUGAAAGUAGUAAAUGUCACAGAUAAAAUUUAAGAACAUAACUUUACAAAUACCAUUCUCUUGCAAGGUUCUGUUCAUCUUUGUAAUGUUCUGUUUUAGUGUGUGUGCUACUGAAGGGAAUACCUGGGUUUUUUUUUCCUUUUUAUGCAGUACUUUAGGUGUAUAGAUAGAUACAACAUUAGUGAUUUCAUAUGUCUCCCUGUCAUCCGUCUUUAGCCUUAAAUCAUACAUAGAGCUAAAACUGCCUGUCUGCACUUAAUCCCAUACCCUGUGGGCUGACUUAGAGCCAAACUUGCCUCUUUCCCACCUGUUUGAGACUCUACAUUUAACUUUAUUCUUUGCAUGCAAACACCCCUUCCUUUGAUGUAUGUGAAGAUUUGGGAAAAGCAUCUUGAAGCUCUAAGAUUUUGUCCUACCCUAUUGGCGCCCCAAACCCAUCUUGUUAGUAAAGGCAGUAUAGCUUUAUGGGAGCUUGGAGCUCUUUAACUGAGUGCAGUGAGGUUGAUUGUAGGGAUAGAUCAGGAAAUGUUGAUGCCCCCAGAGGUGUCAUUGGUCCCUCUAGUUGGACAGAUAUGGUUUGUAUGAAUCCCUCAUAAAUAUCUGAAAGGAAGAGUUUAUCAUGUGAUUUCUCCUAUGUUUCUUGAUGAGACUGGUGUAGGUUUCCUUAUGGAUUGAUACUAAGAUUUAGGAAUUUUUGAGACCUGGUUGAAUUUGUAUGGAUAUACCAAAAUUGAAUCACUUCCCCAGUGGUGGGCAUUAAAUUGUUUUUUGUUUGUUUUGUUUUGGAGAGCCAUUAACAUAAUAUGUAACUACACAAGAAAGCCUGUAGUAUAUUAUGUAUACUUCACAAGUAAGCCUAUAGUAUAUCUUUGCCAACUUAUGUGAGUAGAUUGAUGGGAUGAAUUUAUAGCAAUGGAAUUAUUGCAUAAAAGUGACAUUCACCUAAAUUUUUACUGGAUACUGCCAAAUGGCCCUUCUAAAAAGUUAAAUUGAUGUAUAUUUUUGCCCAGUUAUUAAGAGUACCCAUUUUCAGUGCCUGGGUGGCUCAGUUGGUUGGGCAUGCGACUUUGGCUCAGGUCAUAAUCUCACGGUUUGUGGGUUCAAGCUCCACAUCCAGCUGUCUGCUGUCGGCACAGAGACUGCUUCAGAUCCUCUGUCUCUCUCUUUCUCUGCCCCUUGCCUGCAUUGUCUCUCUCUCAAAAAUAAACAUUAAAAACGGGGGAGUACCCAUUUUCCUAGGUCUUAUUAACAGGUUGAAAUCAUCACCUGUGUAGAUUUGGAUUUGUGAAUGACAUGAAGGCUCUUUUCAUACAUUUAUGGUGACUUGCGUCUUUCUUUAUAUGACUCCUAUAACUUUACCAAUCUUUCCAUUGCGAGGUUUUUUUUUGAGAUAUAAUUGACAUGUAACAGUGGUUUCAGGUGUACAACAUGAUUACAUAUUUGUGUAUGUUGCACCACCAUAAGUCCAGUUAACAUCUGUCCCCAUAUUUAUUACAGAAUCUUUUCUUGUCUUGAGAACUUUUAAGAUCUAUUCUCAGCAACUUUAAAAUAUUCAGUACAAUGUUGGGCGCCUGGGUGGCUCAGUCAGUUAAGCAUCUGACCCUUGAUUUCUGCUCUGUUCAUGAUCUCACGAUUUGUCAGUUUGAGCACUGACCGUGUGAAGCCUGCUUGGGAUUCUCUUUCUCCUCCUCUCUCUGCUCUUCUCCUGAUCUCUCUCUCUCUC